rnacentral:rRNA from 1 species
CCUACGGGUGGCAGCAGUGGGGAAUAUUGGGCAAUGGGCGCAAGCCUGACCCAGCAACGCCGCGUGAAGGAAGAAGGCUUUCGGGUUGUAAACUUCUUUUGACAGGGAAGAGUAGAAGACGGUACCUGUCGAAUAAGCCACGGCUAACUACGUGCCAGCAGCCGCGGUAAUACGUAGGUGGCAAGCGUUGUCCGGAUUUAUUGGGUUUAAAGGGUGCGUAGGCGGUUUUUUAAGUUAGUGGUUAAACGUCGGGGCUUCACCUUGAUUUGCCAUUAAUACUGUAAGACUCGAGUUCAGACGAGGUAGGCGGAAUAAGUUAAGUAGCGGUGAAAUGCUUAGAUAUAACUUAGAACUCCGAUAGCGAAGGCAGCUUACCAGACUGCGACUGACGUUGAGGCUCGAAAGCGUGGGGAGCAAACAGGAUUAGAUACCCCGGUAGUC